GGGGAAACCUACGACCAGUGCAACAGAGAGCAAACCGCCGAUGGCCCACGCAAGUGGGAUCAGGUAAGGGUGAAAGGGUGCGGUAAGAGCGCACCGCGCGGCUGGUAACAGUCCGUGGCACGGUAAACUCCACCCGGAGCAAGGCCAAAUAGGGGUUCAUAAGGUACGGCCCGUACUGAACCCGGGUAGGCUGCUUGAGCCAGUGAGCGAUUGCUGGCCUAGAUGAAUGACUGUCCACGACAGAACCCGGCUUAUCGGUCAGUUUCACCU
rnacentral:RNase_P_RNA from 1 species